GACGUAGGGAGCGAGCGUUGCCCGGAUUCAUUGGGCGUAAAGAGCGCGUAGGCGGCCGUGCAAGUCGGUUGUGAAAUCCCGGGGCUCAACCCCGGGACUGCGUCCGAUACUGCACGGCUCGAGGCAGGUAGGGGAGAGUGGAAUUCCCGGUGUAGCGGUGAAAUGCGCAGAUAUCGGGAGGAACACCGGUGGCGAAGGCGGCUCUCUGGACCUGUCCUGACGCUGAGGCGCGAAAGCUAGGGGAGCGAACAGG
rnacentral:rRNA from 1 species